AGUGAACGCUGGCGGUAGGCCUAACACAUGCAAGUCGAACGGCAGCACAGUAAGAGCUUGCUCUUACGGGUGGCGAGUGGCGGACGGGUGAGGAAUACAUCGGAAUCUACUUUUUCGUGGGGGAUAACGUAGGGAAACUUACGCUAAUACCGCAUACGACCUACGGGGGAAAGCAGGGGACCUUCGGGCCUUGCCCGAUUGAAUGAGCCGAUGUCGGAUUAGCUAGUUGGCGGGGUAAAGGCCCACCAAGGCGACGAUCCGUAGCUGGUCUGAGAGGAUGAUCAGCCACACUGGAACUGAGACACGGUCCAGACUCCUACGGGAGGCAGCAGUGGGGAAUAUUGGACAAUGGGCGCAAGCCUGAUCCAGCCAUACCGCGUGGGUGAAGAAGGCCUUCGGGUUGUAAAGCCCUUUUGUUGGGAAAGAAAUCCAGCCGGCUAAUACCUGGUUGGGAUGACGGUACCCAAAGAAUAAGCACCGGCUAACUUCGUGCCAGCCGCCGCGGUAACAC
rnacentral:rRNA from 1 species